GGGAAGGCGACGGUGAAAUGCAACCGAAAUAAUGCGUGAGAGCUCACCACAGGUCAACCUAGACAGCAAGACUGAGGAAACACAUUAACAGGUGACUCCGAUGUCGUCCCGAGCCUGCCGCAGCUCCUGCUGCCUCCAGAAGCCGCUGAUGUUCUCGUAGGCGCGUCGGCCGCCCGGCGGCGCCCGCUCGCCGCCAGACUGCGCCUCGGCGAGCAGCUCAUAGAUGGCGUCCGAGUGACCUGACCCGGGCGCUGACCCGCACGCCCGACGACCUGCCGAUGCUGCCAUCUAUUGACGACCCAGUCGACUGGUGCCUGCUGCCAUCUACCGAAGACCCCGCGGACUGAUGCCUGCUUCCGUCCGCC